rnacentral:hammerhead_ribozyme from 1 species
AUCGACGAGUCCCAAAUAGGACGAAAUGUGCAUCCUGGAU